CCGCACAAGCGGUGAGCAUGUGGUUUAAUCGAAGCAACGCGCAGAACUUACCCGGGCUAGAAAAGCGAGGAAUCUGGCGGAAACGUUGGAGUGCCCUUCGGGGAACCUCGAUCCAGGUGCUGCAUGGCUGUCGUCAGCUCGUGUCGUGAGAUGUUGGGUUAAGUCCCGCAACGAGCGCAACCCUAUCCUUAGUUGCUACUAGUUCGGCUAAGCACUCUAAGGAGACUGCCGGGUCAACCCGGAGGAAGGUGGGGAUGACGUCAAGUCCUCAUGGCCCUUAUGUCCGGGGCUACACACGUGCUACAAUGGGCAGUACAAAGCGCAGCGAAGCCGCGAGGUGGAGCCAAUCGCAAAAAGCUGUCCUCAGUACGGAUUGCAGUCUGCAACUCGACUGCAUGAAGUCGGAAUCGCUAGUAAUCCCUGAUCAGCAGGCAGGGGUGAAUACGUUCCCGGGCCUU
rnacentral:rRNA from 1 species